GUGCCAGCAGCCGCGGUAAUACGGAGGGUGCAAGCGUUAUCCGGAUUUAUUGGGUUUAAAGGGUCCGUAGGCGGACCUGUAAGUCAGUGGUGAAAUCUCAUAGCUUAACUAUGAAACUGCCAUUGAUACUGCAGGUCUUGAGUAAAUUUGAAGUGGCUGGAAUAAGUAGUGUAGCGGUGAAAUGCAUAGAUAUUACUUAGAACACCAAUUGCGAAGGCAGGUCACUAAGAUUUAACUGACGCUGAUGGACGAAAGCGUGGGUAGCGAAACAGGAUUAGAUACCCUGGUAGUCC
rnacentral:rRNA from 1 species